GAUGAACGCUGGCGGCGUGCCUAAUACAUGCAAGUCGAGCGAACAGACGAGGAGCUUGCUCCUCUGACGUUAGCGGCGGACGGGUGAGUAACACGUGGAUAACCUACCUAUAAGACUGGGAUAACUUCGGGAAACCGGAGCUAAUACCGGAUAAUAUAUUGAACCGCAUGGUUCAAUAGUGAAAGACGGUUUUGCUGUCACUUAUAGAUGGAUCCGCGCCGCAUUAGCUAGUUGGUAAGGUAACGGCUUACCAAGGCAACGAUGCGUAGCCGACCUGAGAGGGUGAUCAGCCACACUGGAACUGAGACACGGUCCAGACUCCUACGGGAGGCAGCAGUAGGAAAUCUUCCGCAAUGGGCGAAAGCCUGACGGAGCAACGCCGCGUGAGUGAUGAAGGUCUUCGGAUCGUAAAACUCUGUUAUUAGGGAAGAACAAAUGUGUAAGUAACUAUGCACGUCUUGACGGUACCUAAUCAGAAAGCCACGGCUAACUACGUG
rnacentral:rRNA from 1 species